rnacentral:lncRNA from 1 species
GAGAAGAUCACCAGGGAUCACUAGCUAAUUUGCUUCCUUUACUCGUUUGGUCGUUCGCGGGCCUUUUACAUAAUUGUAGGUUUCCCUCUUGUGUGAUUUCCGCCCAUUUGGUGUAAGUUUGCCUUCGAUUUGAUGUACUCGUGUCAGGUUCUGUAAUGAAUUACUUAGAGCAACUCCACCGCGUCGACUCAAGAUACGCGUUUUGUCCGUUUUUUGUCCAUUUGGCAUGGCCGGCCAGGCGAACGGACGCGUUCAUUUUUUCAUUUGGAUCAGCUGGUGCGUUCAACGGAGGCCGACCCAAAUUUACCCGCGUCCGAAAAAAAACAGUUGUAGAAAUAAACAUAAUAAAACAUUAAAUGAUCAGUCAACCGCCAGCCAAAGUCCACUUAAAACGUAAUUAAAUAUUAAUUGAAACAUAAAAAAAAUUGCGCCCGCACGCUGCUCUAAACAUCCGCCUUGCCCUUGCCGUCGUCAUCACCCUGGUGAGGUCGAUGAAGACGGGAACCGGGCCAGCCCACCGAACGCCGCUUGGUAGGCUGCCAGGACAGCCUCCUCCGACGUCUGCUGGGACACCUGCGGCUCGCCGGGCGCGCUCCUCCUUCUCCGCAAGCCGCGGUGCCUCCUCGUCACGGCGCAGCUGCUGCUCCCGGCGCAUCUGCCGCUCGCCAUCGUUCCCCUCCUCGGCGAGCCAGUGCACCUUCCAGCGCUCAAGGUGGGCCACCUCCUCCUCCGGCAUCGCGGCGUAGUGCACCGGAGGCGCGCUCACCCACUCGCGUAGCUUGCCGGUUCACGUGUAGGGCUCCUCCGGCCAAGUGGGCGGAGGCGACGAGCGCUUCCGUGUUGGCAUGGGCUCCGGCUUCGCCUUGGGCUCGACAAUUGGUAGCGGUGGCGGAGGCGGGACGAAGAGCGGGGCGUGAAUGGAGUCCCCCACCGUCAACAAGGCGAGGGCGCGCUCCAGCCCAUCCCAUUGGGCCUCCUCCUCGAUCCUGCUCGCCUCCAGCGCGUGCUGUAGGGCUAGCUCGAGGGCGGCUUGGUACGCCGCCUCUUCAUCCUCCUCCUCUGGCAGAACCUCAGGCGGUGGCGGAGGAACGUUGUGGUCGACGUGGACGCCCCGGCGGUGCUCCUCCUCGUGCUCUAGCGCGAACUAGUGCUCCUAGUUGGGGGAGUCUGGCGCGUAGGCACGCAUCGCCUGCUGCUCCGAAGUGAGGGCCUCGCGAUGCUGGCGAACCUCCUCGGCGUGCGCCUGCGCCGUGCAUGGCACUGCCGGAAUGGGGAUCCGCUGCGGAUCUAGAUGCCAACCGUGCGGCAGGCUGACAUCCGGAUACUGCAGUGGCUGACGACGGUACUGCCGAUGCCACCGCGUCUAGUGGACUGGUAUGUACAAACGCUGCCGCUCCGAUGGCGAGCCGCGUCUAGCAGGCGGUGGAGGAGGUGCUCGCGCCAGUGAGCCACGGGAAGAGCUCGCGCCGGCGCUGAGCUUCCCCCUCCCCUUCCCGUUGAAAAGCCCCAGGCUUGCUAGGGUUCUUGGUCUCCGGCGAGGGAGCACCGCGUGGCUAGUUGUGGACGGGUCUUUGAUAACCCACAAGUAUAGGGGAUCGCAACAGUUUUCGAGGGUAGAGUAUUCAACCCAAAUUUAUUGAUUCGACACAAGGGGAGCCAAAGAAUAUUCUCAAGUAUUAGCAGCUGAGUUGUCAAUUCAACCACACCUGGAUAACUUAGUAUCUGCAGCAAAGUGUUUAGUAGCAAAGUAAUAUGAUAGUAGUGGUAACGGUAACAAUAGUAACGGUAGCAAAAGUAAUAUUUUUGGUGUUUUGUAGUGAUUGUAACAGCAGCAACGGAAAAGUAAAUAAGCGAAGAACAAUAUGUGAAAAGCUCGUAGGCAUUGGAUCGGUGAUGGAGAAUUAUGCUGGAUGCGGUUCAUCAUGUAACAAUCAUAACAUAGGGUGACACAGAACUAGCUCCAAUUCAUCAAUGUAAUGUAGGCAUGUAUUCCGAAUAUAGUCAUACGUGUUUAUGGAAAAGAACUUGCAUGACAUCUUUUGUCCUACCCUCCCGUGGCAGCGGGGUCCUAAUGGAAACUAAGGGAUAUUAAGGCCUCCUUUUAAUAGAGUACCGGAACAAAGCAUUAGCACAUAGUGAAUACAUGAACUCAUCAAACUAUGGUCAUCACCGGGAGUGGUCCCGAUUAUUGUCACUUCGGGGUUGCCGGAUCAUAACACAUAGUAGGUGACUAUAGACUUGCAAGAUAGGAUCAAGAACUCACAUAUAUUCAUGCAAACAUAAUAGGUUCAGAUCUGAAAUCAUGGCACUCGGGCCCUAGUGACAAGCAUUAAGCAUAGCAAAGUCAUAGCAACAUCAAUCUCAGAAGAUAGUGGAUACUAGGGAUCAAACCCUAACAAAACUAACUCGAUUACAUGAUAGAUCUCAUCCAACCCAUCACCGUCCAGCAAGCCUACGAUGGAAUUACUCACGCACGGCGGUGAGCAUCAUGAAAUUGGUGAUGGAGGAUAGUUGAUGAUGACGAUGGCGACGAAUCCCCCUCUCCGGAGCCCCGAACGGACUCCAGAUCAGCCCUCCCGAGAGGUUUUAGGGCUUGGCGGCGGCUCCGUAUCGUAAAACGCGAUGAAUUCUUCUCUCUGAUUUUUUUCUCCCCGAAAGCAAAUAUAUAGAGUUGGGGUUGAGGUCGGAGGAGCUCCAGGGGGCCCACGAGGUAGGGGGCGCGCCCCCACCCACAUGGACUGGGUGUGGGCCCCCUGGUCUUCAUCUUUUGCAAGGAUUUUUUAUUAUUUUCAAAUAGACGUUCCGUGGAGUUUCAGAUCAUUCCGAGAACUUUUGUUUCGUCACAUAAAUAACACCAUGGAAAGUCUGCUGAAAACAGCGCCAGUCCGGGUUAGUUCCAUUCAAAUCAUGCAAGUUAGAGUCCAAAACAAGGGCAAAAGUGUUUGGAAAAGUAGAUACAACGGAGACGUAUCAACUCCCCCAAGCUUAAACCUUUGCUUGUCCUCAAGCAAUUCAGUUGAUAAACUGAAAAUGAUAAAGAAAAACUUUUACAAACUCUGUUUGCUCUUGUUGUUGUAAAUAUGUUAAGCCAGCAUUCAAGUUUUCAUCAAAGAUUAUGACUAACCACAUUCACAAUAACUCUCAGGUCUCAUGUUUACUCAUAUCAAUGGCAUAAUCAACUAGCGAGCGAUAAUAAUAAAUCUCGGAUGACAACACUUUCUCAAAACAAUCAUGAUAUGAUAUAACAAGAUGGUAUCUCGCUAGCCCUUUCUGAGACCGCAAAACAUAAAUGCAGAGCACCUUUAAAGAUCAAGGACUGACUAGACAUUGUAAUUCAUGGUAAAAGAGAUACAAUCAUAGUCAUACCCAAUAUGAAUUAACAGUAAUGGAUGCAAAUGACAGCUGGGCUCUCCAGCUAGUGCUUUUUAAUAAGAGGGUGAUGACUCAACAUAAAAGUAAAUAGAUAGGCCCUUCGCAGAGGGAAGUAGGGAUUUGUAGAGGUGCCAGAGCUCGGUUUUGAAAUAGAGAUAAAUAAUAUUUUGAGCGGCAUACUUUCAUUGUCAACAUAGCAACCAAGAGAUGGCGAUAUCUUCCAUGCUACACACAUUAUAGGCGGUUCCCAAACAGAAUGGUAAAGUUUAUACUCCCCCUCCACCAACAAGCAUCAAUCCAUGACUUGCUCGAAACAACGAGUGUCUCCAACUAGCAACAGUCCCAGGGGGGUUUUGUUUGCAAUUAUUUCGAUUUAGUUUGCAUAAAGCAUGGGACUGGGCAUCCCGGUGACCAGCCAUUUUCUCGUGAGUGAGGAGCGGAGUCCACUCCUCUUGAGAAUAACCCGCCUAACAUGGAAGAUAAGGGCAGCCCUAGUUGAUACAUGAGCUAUUCGAGCAUACAAAACAAAAUGUUUAUUUGAAGGUUUAGAGUUUGGCACAUACAAAUUUACUUGGAAUGGCAGGUAGAUACCGCAUAUAGGAAGGUAUAGUGGACUCAUAUGGAAUAACUUUGGGGUUUAAGGGAUUUGAUGCACAAGCAGUAUUCCCGCUUAGUACGAGUGAAUGCUAGCAAAAGACUGGGAAGCGACCAACUAGAGAGCGACAACAGUCAUGAACAUGCAUUAAAAUUAAUAAACAUUGGAUGCAAGCAUGAGUAGGAUAUAAUCCACCAUGAACAUAAAUAUCGUGAAGGCUAUGUUGAUUUUGUUUCAACUACAUGUGUGAACAUGUGCCAAGUCAAGUCACUUAAUCAUUCAAAGGAGGAUACCACCCCACUAUACCACAUCACAACCAUUUUAAUAGCAUGUUGGCACGCAAGGUAAACCAUUAUAACUCAUAGCUAAUCAAGCAUGGCACGAGCAACUAUGAUCUCUAAUUGUCAUUGCGAACAUGUUUAUUCAUAAUAAGCUGAAUCAAGAACGAUGAACUCAUCAUAUUUACAAAAACAAGAGAGGUCGAGUUCAUACCAGCUUUUCUCAUUUCAGUCAGUCCAUCAUAUAUCUGUAGGAGAUAUGCCCUAGAGGCAAUAAUAAAUGUUAUUGAUUAUCUCCCUGUUCAUAAUUAUGUUUAUGUUCCAUGCUAUAACUGCUGUGGUUCCCGAGCCCGUAUAUCCAUAAAGGCUCUGGGGAGAACCCAUAUGCACGUGUGGAAUAAUAAACGAUAAAAUGUAUUCCUAGUCAUGCCUCUAAGACUAGCUCAAGUGUUGCAUGAUGAUUAUGUUUUCCCAAUCAUGGGCAUGUCUAUGCCAAGCAACUUUGAGGGCACAAUGUCAGGAAGGACAUUUGUGUUGAAUCGACCCGAAUUGAUGUUAUGCUAUGAGAUACAUUCGUCACAAGUUUAUUGGUACAUAACACAGAGAUGGUUAAUGUUUGCAUGAUUCCUUAGACCAUGAGAGUAUCGAGUUUCUUCAUGCUUGCUUCAUGAACUUUGGGGUUUGUUAAACGUCAUCCGUAAAUGGGUGGCUAUUACGGCGGCUUACGGGUUCAUGGAAAAGUGUGUCAAGUAACUUGAUAGCUCAAGAUUGGGAUUUGCUCCUCCAACGAUGGAGAGAUAUCUCUGUGCCCUCUCGGUGUUACGGUAUCCAUCAUCGUCUGGCCAGACACUUUGUGAUUUGAUCACGGGGAUGCCGGAACACGAUAACGAGAAAAGAGAACAAUACCGGUAACGAGGUAACUAGCAUAGUGGACAAGUUGUUGAUCCACGGGAAUGCCAACAUGUCUCACCUCGGGUAUUUGUAACAUAUCGCGAAGCAACAGGAAUAGCACACGGCAACUGGAGGUUCACUCGAAUAUUUAUUCGUGUGGGUAUAGGGGUCAAUAUGGGUGUCCACGGCUCCGAUGUUGAUCAUUGAUCGGAAGGGGUUCCGGGUCAUGUCUAUACUUCACCGAACCUAUAGGGUCACACGCUUAAGGGUCAUCUAUCUGCUGAAUACUAGACAGGGAGUCUGAGAGAAAAUCACCGAAAAAGUUUCGGACAGCGGAAUCGUACCGCAGAGAGAGGGCAUCGGAUAAGUUUCGAUGAUACCGAAAAGUUGUUUCGGGAUACACCAUUAAGUCAAAUUGGUUUCGGCACAUGCCUGAUAAUUCUUGGAGGAUGCCAGAAUCAUUCUGGAAGCUUUUUGGAAUUUUCUGAGAUAAAAACCGGAAAUGUUCCGGAGCUGCCGGAGUCACUUCAGAUGCGUUUCGCAGAUGAAAAUCACUAAAACCGGAAUUGUUUCGGAACACGUUGAAAAUCAUUUUAGUGGGUACUGGAAAUGUUCUUAGCCCACAUAAAUAUUUUCAGUUCGAUCAGAUGCUGAAAAAUGUCGUCGUGAAUAGUGAAAAUCAGCUUUAUGGUUACUUUAUGGAAAGCCACCUUUUGGGGCUUUGCUCCAAAAGAUCUUGGGGAUGACAUGGAUGGAUAGGAGCCAUUUUUUGGGCCCCUCAUGGGGGUGUGGCCGGCCACAUGGGGUAUCCCCCCUUGGGGACCCUCUUGUUCCUUGGUUUCACUCCUAGGUCCUUGUGGAAGGACUUCAUUCAUGUGCAUUUUGGGUUUUUUGUGAAACUACCCUACCCCCUUGGGAUUUUCUAUAAAUAGAGGUGGAGGGGCAGCCCUCCACACUCAUCCCUUGCUCUCAUACACAUGCCAUGCAUUAUCUGGCUUCUUCUCUCCCUCCCACGAAAAGAGUUUCGUAGAGCCGUAAGGCUGUCUGGGUUCCGGCAGGAACUAGUUCUGGACGGCGAAGCCCUGUCGGAUAGAUGACACCGUAUGUGUGCAACUCUGUAGAGAGAUCGUAGUUUCGGUCUUAGUUCGUGAGUGCCUCCCGAAGGGCUGUCCGUGUGACCGUCCGAGUUUCGAAGGUCCUCCCGAAGGGCUGUCCGCGACACCGUCCGGGGGGCUGUUCGACCGCCUCCCGGAGGGCUGUCUAAGGAGCAGAUGAGGGUAUACAUCCUCGCAGUUGGGAGGUUGUAAAUCCUAGCUGCGGGGAUCUGCACCACCGAUCGUCAUCGACUCUACUUCCCGCUGCGCUACGAGUCGGUAAACAAAAAGGAUCAAACCAUGUAUGCAGUCUCCAUAGUGGUCCUGGGCUGGUGCGUAGGUCGGAAUUUUUUUGGUUUCUGUCGCGUUCCCCUACAAUAUCAUCAUAAUUGCCUUUCAUUUGCACGACAGAACGAUGUGAAUAAUAAUAUGAGUGCACGUGCAUUGGACUAAGCUGGAAUCUGCGAGCAUUCAAUAAACAGGAGAAGACAAGGCAAUAUGGGCUCUUGGUUAAAUCAACAAUAAUGCAUAUAAGAGCCACUUCAACAAUUUAAUCAUGGUCUUCUCCUAUCGACCCCAAAGAAAAGAAAAGAAAUAAAAGCUAUUUACAUGGGAAAGCUCCCAACAAGCAAAAGAAGAACGGGAAAUCUUUUUGGGUUUUCUUUUUAAUUAUUACUACUACAGCAAGAAAAAUAAACUAACUAAAAGCUACACUAAAUUUUUUUGUUUUUCUUAAGGUUUAUUAAACACACAAGAAGAAAGCAAGAAAAAGGAAAAUAAACUAGCAUGGAUAUUACAGUGAAAAAGUAUGAGCACCGACAUCUAGCAAUGAGUGUGUGAACAUAAAUGUAAUGUCGGUGGGAAAUACGUACUCCCCCAAGCUUAGGCUUUUGGCCUAAGUUGGUUUAUUGCCAAGGAUGGCCUGGCGGAUAUCCAUAGUUGUAGCCGGGGUCGUACUGAGACGAAGAGGACUCUGACUGCCACUGGCUAGCAGUCAUCUCCGGAUCCCAAAAGUAAUCAGACUGUCGUGGAGGCUCAAAUUGUGGUUCCGGCUCCAGGGCUGGUGUAGGGUUCCGGUAGGCUUGAAUGGCCGCCCACGGAACGAGAUGCGGACCUUCAGAUAAAUUAAACAAGGAAGGAGCAGGCAAGGUAAUAGUCUCAGGGUGAUGUUUAUCAAAGAACAAUUUGUAUUUAAGCUCCCAUUCCUUAUUCUUAACAAUAAAAUCAUGCGCUAACAUACUCUUAUAAUCUAAAUAAGCAUUGGGCAACAAUUUUUCUUCUUUCUCAUAGAGCCUAAUAGGUAUGUUAUAAUGCGCAGCUAGGCGUGAAGCAUAAAUACCUCCAAAGAUGGGGCCCUUAGUACGGUUCAGACUUAACCGUUUAUCAAUAAUACCGCCCAUACUAACAGUGUUAUCGGAAUAUAAAAAAUGGAGCAUAAUGAUAAUAUCAGGGACACUAAGGUUUCCACAGUUUCCGCGACCAAUUACAACGACUAGCAAAUAUGGCAAAGUAGCGUAAAACAGGAAAAUGUAUGCUAGUGAUUCUUGCAUCGGAAACCUUCCUAGUUUCCCCCACAGUGAUGGUGUCAAUAAACCCGUCCACAUCUUUACGAUGUGGUUCAUCUAAGGUACCCUCGAAGGGUUUUGCAAACCUUGCAAAAUUUAUCUAGUGGGAUCUUCUUAACAACAUCAUAUAAAUGAAACUCUACUGAAGGAGGUGUUUCUUUAGGAAAAUAGUAGAAGUUUUGCACAAAAGUAUUGGUGAGUAAGAGAUACUGAUGACGUUGGUCACGGAGGAAGUCGGUGAGGCCAGCAUUCUCAGCCAAUGAAUAGAAAUCAUCAUAAAUCCCGGCUUUUCUCAAGAAAUCAUCGGAAGGCCAUUCACACGGCCGGACCUCCGCGGUGCGAGGCAAAUUAUAUUUGGGCCUCUGUGCUUCUUCAUUUUGCUUUUCCUUCGAGCUUCGGCUCAUCAUUAUUUUCUGAAAUAUUCUGAAAUUUUUAGUAACUUCAAAUAAAAGUAAACCAAACUCAACAAAAUUGAUAGCGACUACUCCUACAAGUGACUAGAGCCUAUAUCAAGCAUUAGAACUACUUGGAACCAUAUAAAUUUGACAUGCAAGCUCAAGAACAUGGUCACCUAGGCAGCACAAAUUUGCAAUGAAUAAAGCACUAGAACAAAAACUAAUUGGACCAAUGGAGGAGUCACAUACCAAGGAACAAUCUCCCCAAGCAGUUUUGUGAGAGGUGCUUUGAGCAAGGAGAUCGAAAAUCACAGCAAAAUGAGCUAGAACUCGUGCUUGAGCUGGAUAUUGGUGUUUGUGGGAGGAAGAAGGAGUGUAUGGGUGCAGGAAUAAGUGGAGGAGGGCCACCGUGGGCCCACGAGGCAGGUGGGCGCGCCCUGGAGGGUAGGGCGCGCCCUCCACCCUCGUGGCCAGGUGCUUGCCCCUCCUGCUGUGUUCUCAGUGCCAGAAAUUCUCAAAUAUUCUAGAAAAAAUCAUAUGCAUUUUCAGGGCAUUUGGAGAACUUUUAUUUUCGGGGUAUUUUUAUAUUGCACGGAUAAAUCAGAAAACAGACAGAAAAAUACUAUUUUUACUUUAUUUCAACUAAAUAACAGAAAGUAGAAGGAGGGUACGGAAGGUUGUGCCUUCUAGUUUCAUCCAUCUCAUGCUUAUCAAAAAGAAUCCACUAACAAGGUUGAUCAAGUCUUGUUAACAAAAUCAUUCCGAAUAAUCAUGGAACCGGAGAAAUUUCGAAUAACACUAUGUUACCUCAACGGGGAUAUGCACAUCCCCAAUAAUAAGAAUAUCAUAUUUCUUCUUGACAGUAGGAAGAGGAAAUUCAAAACCUCCAAAUAUAAUCGAUGGAAUUUUUCCAAUAGAGUUGAUACUAUGAACUUGAGGUUGUUUCCUCCGAAAGUGUACCGUAUGCUCAUUACCAUUAACAUGAAAAGUGACAUUGCCUUUGUUGCAAUUAAUAACAGCCCCUGCAGUAUUCAAAAAAGGUCUUCCAAGAAUAAUAGACAUGCUAUCGUCCUCGGGAAUAUCAAGAAUAACAAAGUCCGUUAAAAUAGUAACGUUUGCAACCACAACAGGAACAUCCUCACAAAUACCGACAGGUAUAGUAGUAGAUUUAUCAGCCAUUUGCAAAGAUAUUUCAGUAGGUGUCAACUUAUUCAAGUCAAGUCUACGAUAUAAGGAGAGAGGCAUAACACUAACACCGGCUCCAAGAUCACAUAAAGCAGUUUUAACAUAAUUUCUUUUAAUGGAGCAUGGUAUAGUAGGUACUCCUGGAUCUCCAAGUUUCUUUGGUAUUCCACCCUUAAAAGUAUAAUUAGCAAGCAUGGUGGAAAUCUCAGCUUCCGGUAUUUUUCUUUUGUUUGUAACAAUAUCUUUCAUAUACUUAGCAUAAGGAUUCAUUUUGAGCAUAUCAGUUAAUCGCAUACGCAAAAAGAUAGGUCUAAUCAUUUCAGCAAAGCGCUCAAAAUCCUCAUCAUCCUUUUUCUUGGAUGGUUUGGGAGGAAAAGGCAUGGGUUUCUGAACCCAUUGUUCUCCUUCUUUACCGUGCUUCCUAGCAACAAAGUCUCUCUUAUCAUACCGUUGAUUCUUUGAUUGUGGGUUAUCAAGAUCAACAGCAGGUUCAAUUUCUACAUCAUUAUCAUUAAUAGGUUGAGCAUCAUCAUGAACAUCAUCAUUAACAUUUUCACUAGGUUCAUGUUCAUUACCAGAUUGUGUUUUAGCAUCAGAAAUAGAAAUAUCAUUUGGAUUCUCAGGUGGUUCAGCAAUAGGUUCACUAGAAGCAUGCAAAGUCCUAUCAUUUCUCUUUUUCUUCCUUUUAGAAGGACUAGGUGCAUCAAUAUUAUUUCUCUGAGAAUCUUGCUCAAUUCUCUUAGGGUGGCCUUCAGGAUACAAAGGUUCCUGAGUCAUUCUACCAGUUCUAGUAGCCACUCUAACAGCAUAAUCAUUUUUCUUACUAUUCAUUUCAUUGAGCAAAUCAUUUUGAGCUUUAGGUACUUGUUCUACUUGAGUGGUAACCAUAGAAGCAUGUUUACUAAUGAGUUUAAGUUCACCUUUAACAUUAGCCAUAUAAUCACCCAAGUGUUCAAUCAUAUAAGCAUUUUGUUUUAAUUGUCUACCAAAAUAAGCAUUGAAGUUUUCUUGUUUGACAAUAAAAUUAUCAAACUCUUCUAAGCAUUGUCUAGCAGACUUAUAGUGAGGAAUAUCGCCUUCAUCAAAUCUAUAGAGUGAGUUUACCUUUACUACCUGUGUCGGGUUAUCAAGACCAUGAGGUUCUUCAAUAGGUAAUGGAUUAAGAUCACAUGUUUCUUCAACAGGCGGUAGAUUAAGACCAUGUAUUUCUUCAAUAGGAGGUAAAUUCUUAACAUCUUCAGCUUUAAUACCUUUUUCUUUCAUAGAUUUCUUUGCCUCUUGCAUAUCUUUAGGACAGAGAAAUAGAACACCUCUCAUGUUCAGAGUUGGUUUAGGAAUAGGCUCAGGAAUUGGCUCAGGAGCUGGCUCAGGAAGUGUCCAAUUAUUUUCAUUUGUCAACAUAUUAUUCAAUAGAAUUUCAGCUUCAUCCGGUGUUCUUUCCUUGAAAACAGAACCAGCACAACUAUCCAGGUAAUCUCUGGAAGCAUCGGUUAGUCCAUUAUAAAAGAUAUCAAGUAUUUCAUUUUUCUUGAGAGGAUGAUCAGGCAAAGCAUUAAGUAACUUGAGAAGCCUCCCCCAAGCUUGUGGGAGACUCUCUUCUUCAAUUUGCACAAAGUUGUAUAUUUCCCUCAAAGCAGCUUGUUUCUUAUGAGCAGGGAAAUAUUUAGCAGAGAAGUAAUAAAUCAUAUCCUGGGGACUACGCACACAACCAGGAUCAAGGGAAUUAAGCCAUAUCUUAGCAUCACCCUUUAAUGAGAACGGAAAUAUUUUAAGGAUAUAAAAGUAGCGAGAUCUCUCAUCAUUAGUGAACAGGGUGGCUAUAUCAUUUAAUUUAGUAAGAUGUGCCACAACAGUUUCAGAUUCAUAGCCAUGAAAGGGAUCAGAUUCAACCAAAGUAAUUAUAUCAGGAUCAACAGAGAAUUCAUAAUCCUUAUCGGUAACAUAGAUAGGUGAAGUUGCAAAAGCAGGGUCAGGUCUCAUUCUAUCAUUAAGAGAUUGCUGAUUCCAUUUAGCUAAUAAUCUCUUGAGCUCAUAUCUAUCUUUGCAAGCUAAAAUAGCUAAAGAAGCUUCUUUAUCAAAAACAUAACCCUCAGGAAUAACAGGCAAGUCUUCAUCAUCACUUUCAUCAAUAUAAUCGGUUUCAAUAAUUUCUUUCUCUCUAGCCCUAGCAAUUUGUUCAUCAAGAAAUUCACUAAGGGGCACAGUAGUAUCAAGCAUAGAAGUAGUUUCAUCAUAAGUAUCAUGCAUAGCAGAAGUGGCAUCAUCAAUAACAUGCGACAUAUCAGAAUGAAUAGCAGAAGCAGGUUUAGGUGUCGCAAGCUUACUCAAAACAGAAGGUGAAUCAAGUGCAGAGCUAGAUGGCAGUUCCUUACCUCCCCUCGUAGUUGAGGGAUAAAUUGUUGUCUUAGCGUCUUUCAAGUUCUUCAUAGUGACCAGCAAAUAUAAAUCCCAAGUGACUCAAAGAAUAGAGCUAUGCUCCCCGGCAACGGUGCUAGAAAAUAGUCUUGAUAACCCACAAGUAUAGGGGAUCGCAACAGUUUUCGAGGGUAGAGUAUUCAACCCAAAUUUAUUGAUUCGACACAAGGGGAGCCAAAAAAUAUUCUCAAGUAUUAGCAGCUGAGUUGUCAAUUCAACCACACCUGGAUAACUUAGUAUCUGCAGCAAAGUGUUUAGUAGCAAAGUAAUAUCAUAGUAGUGGUAACGGUAACAAAAGUAACGGUAGCAAAAGUAUAUUUUUGGUGUUUUGUAGUGAUUGUAACAGCAGCAACGGAAAAGUAAAUAAGCAAAGAACCAUAUGUGAAAAGCUCGUAGGCAUUGGAUCGAUGAUGGAGAAUUAUGCCGGAUGCGGUUCAUCAUGUAACAAUCAUAACAUAGGGUGACACAGAACUAGCUCCAAUUCAUCAAUGUAAUGUAGGCAUGUAUUCCGAAUAUAGUCAUACGUGUUUAUGGAAAAGAACUUGCAUGACAUCUUUUGUCCUACCCUCCCGUGGCAGCGGGGUCCUAAUGGAAACAAAGGGAUAUUAAGGCCUCCUUUUAAUAGAGUACCGGAACAAAGCAUUAGCACAUAGUGAAUACAUGAACUCCUCAAACUAUGGUCAUCACUGGGAGUGGUCCCGAUUAUUGUCACUUCAGGGUUGCCGGAUCAUAACUCAUAGUAGGUGACUAUAGACUUGCAAGAUAGGAUCAAGAACUCACAUAUAUUCAUGCAAACAUAAUAGGUUCAGAUCUGAAAUCAUGGCACUCGGGCCCUAGUGACAAGCAUUAAGCAUAGCAAAGUCAUAGCAACAUCAAUCUCAGAACAUAGUGGAUACUGUUGGGGAACGUAGUAAUUUCAAAAAAAUUCCUACGCACACGCAAGAUCAUGGUGAUGCAUAGCAACGAGGGGGGAGAGUGUUGUCCAUGUACCCUCGUAGACCGAAAGCGGAAGCGUUAACACAACGUGGUUGAUGUAGUCAUACGUCUUCACGAUCCGACCGAUCAAGUACCGAACGCACGGCACCUCCGAGUUCAGCACACGUUCAGCUCGAUGACGUCCCUCGAACUCCGAUCCAGCCGAGUGUUGAGGGAGAGUUUCGUCAGCACGACGGCGUGGUGACGAUGAUGAUGUUCUACCGAUGCAGGGCUUCGCCUAAGCUCCGCGACGAUAUUAUCGAGGUGUAAUAUGGUGGAGGGGGCACCGCACACGGCUAAAAUAUCGUAUAUCAAUUGUGUGUCUAGAGGUGCCCCCCUGCCCCCGUAUAUAAAGGAGCAAGGUGGGAGGCCGGCCGGCCCUUGGGGCGCGCCAAGGAGGGGGGGAGUCCUCCUCCUAGUAGGAGUAGGACUCCCCUUUCCUAGUCCAACUAGGAAGAGAGAAGGGGGAAGGAAAGAGAGGGAGAGGGAAAGAGGGGCCGCACCCCCCUCCCCUAGUCCAAUUCGGACUCCUCAUGGGAGGGGGCGCGCCACCUCCUGGGCUGCUGCCCUCUCUCUCUCCUCAGGCCCACUAAGGCCCAAUACUUCCCCGGGGGGUUCCGGUAACCCCUCCGGCACUCCGGUUUUAUCCGAAACUUCUCCGGAACACUUCCGGUGUCCGAAUAUAGUCGUCCAAUAUAUCAAUCUUUAUGUCUCGACCAUUUUGAGACUCCUCGUCAUGUCCGUGAUCAUAUCCGAAACUCCGAACAACCUUCGGUAGAUCAAAACAUAUAAACUCAUAAUAAAACUGUCAUCGUAACUUUAAGCGUGCGGACCCUACAGGUUCGAGAACUAUGUAGACAUGACCGAGACACCUCUCCGGUCAAUAACCAAUAGCGGAACCUGGAUGCUCAUAUUGGUUCCCACAUAUUCUACGAAGAUCUUUAUCGGUCAGACCGCAUAACAACAUACGUUGUUCCCUUUGUCAUCGGUAUGUUACUUUCCCGAGAUUCGAUCGUCGGUAUCUCGAUACCUAGUUCAAUCUCGUUACCGGCAAGUCUCUUUACUCGUUCCAUAAUAGAUCAUCCCGCAACUAACUCAUUAGUCACAACGCUUGCAAGGCUUAUAGUGAUGUGCAUUACCGAGUGGGCCCAGAGAUACCUCUCCGACAAUCAGAGUGACAAAUCUUAAUCUCAAAAAACGCCAACCCAACAAGUACCUUUGGAGACACCUGUAGAGCACCUUUAUAAUCACCCAGUUACGUUGUGACGUUUGGUAGCACACAAAGUGUUCCUCCGGUAAACGGGAGUUGCAUAAUCUCAUAGUCAUAGGAACAUGUAUAAGUCAUGAAGAAAGCAAUAGCAACAUACUAAACGAUCGAGUGCUAAGCUAACGGAAUGGGUCAAGUCAAUCACGUCAUUCUCCUAAUGAGGUGAUCCCGUUAAUCAAAUGACAACUCAUGUCUAUGGCUAGGAAACAUAACCAUCUUUGAUUAACGAGCUAGUCAAGUAGAGGCAUACUAGUGACACUCUGUUUGUCUAUGUAUUCACACAUGUAUUAUGUUUCCGGUUAAUACAAUUCUAGCAUGAAUAAUAAACAUUUAUCAUGAUAUAAGGAAAUAAAUAAUACUUUAUUAUUGCCUCUAGGGCAUAUUUCCUUCAGUCUCCCACUUGCACUAGAGUCAAUAAUCUAGAUUACACAGUAAUGAUCCUUACACCCAUGGAGUCUUGGUGUUGAUCAUGUUUUGCUUGUGGAAGAGGCUUAGUCAAUGGGUCUGCAACAUUCAGAUCCGUAUGUAUCUUGCAAAUUUCUAUGUCUCCCACCUGGACUAAAUCCCGGAUGGAAUUGAAGCGUCUUUUGAUGUGCUUGGUUCUCUUGUGAAAUCUGGAUUCCUUUGCUAAGGCAAUUGCACCAGUAUUGUCACAAAAGAUUUUCAUUUGUCCCAAUGCACUAGGUAUGACACCUAGAUCGGAUAUGAACUCCUUCAUCUAGACUCCUUCAUUUCCUGCUUCCGAAGCAGCUAUGUACUCUGCUUCACACGUAGAUCCCGCCACGACACUUUGCUUAGAACUGCACCAACUGACAGCUCCACCGUUCAAUGUAAAUACGUAUCCGGUUUGCAAUUUAGAAUCGUCCGGAUCAGUGUCAAAGCUUGCAUCAACGUAACCACUUACGAUGAGCUCUUUGUCAUCUCCAUAAACGAGAAACAUAUCCUUAGUCCUUUUCAGGUAUUUUAGGAUGUUCUUGACCGCUGUCCAGUGAUCCACUCCUGGAUUACUUUGGUACCUCCCUGCUAAACUUAUAGCAAGGCACACAUCAGGUCUGGUACACAGCAUUGCAUACAUGAUAGAGCCUAUGGCUGAAGCAUAGGGAACAUCUUUCAUCUUCUCUCUAUCUUCUGCAGUGGUCGGGCAUUGAGUCUUACUCAAUCUCACACCUUGUAGUACAGGCAAGAACCCUUUCUUUGCUUGAUCCAUUUUGAACUUCUUCAAAACUUUGUCAAGGUAUGUGCUUUGUGAAAGUCCAAUUAAGCGUCUUGAUCUAUCUCUAUAGAUCUUAAUGCCUAAUAUAUAUGCAGCUUCACCGAGGUCUUUCAUUGAAAAACUCUUAUUCAAGUAUCCCUUUAUGCUAUCCAGAAAUUCUAUAUCAUUUCCAAUCAGCAAUAUGUCAUCCACAUAUAAUAUCAGAAAUGCUACUGAGCUCCCAUUCACUUUCUUGUAAAUACAGGCUUCUCCAAAAGUCUGUAUAAAACCAAAUGCUUUCAUCACACUAUCAAAGCGUUUAUUCCAACUCCGAGAGGCUUGCACCAGUCCAUAAAUGGAUCGCUGGAGCUUGCACACUUUGUUAGCUCCCUUUGGAUCGACAAAACCUUCCGGUUGCAUCAUAUACAACUCUUCUUCCAGAAAUCCAUUCAGGAAUGUAGUUUUGACAUCCAUUUGCCAAAUUUCAUAAUCAUAAAAUGCGUCAAUUGCUAACAUGAUUCGGACAGACUUAAGCAUCGCUACGGGUGAGAAGGUCUCAUCGUAGUCAAUCCCUUGAACUUGUCAAAAACUUUUCGCAACAAGUCGAGCUUUAUAGACAGUAACAUUACCAUCAGCGUCAGUCUUCUUCUUGAAGAUUCAUUUAUUUUCAAUGGCUUGCCGACCAUCGGGCAAGUCAACCAAAGUCCAUACUUUGUUCUCAUACAUGGAUCCCAUCUCGGAUUUCAUGGCUUCAAGCCAUUUUGCGGAAUCUGGGCUCACCAUCGCUUCUUCAUAGUUCGUAGGUUCGUCAUGGUCUAGUAACAUAACCUCCAGAACAGGAUUACCGUACCACUCUGGUGCGGAUCUUGAUCUAGUUGACCUACGAGGUUCAGUAAUAACUUGAUCUGAAGUUUCAUGAUCAUUAUCAUUAACUUCCUCACUAAUUGGUGUAGGUGUCGCAGAAACUGAUUUUUGUGAUGAUCUACUUUCCAAUAAGGGAGCAGGUACAGUUACCUCAUCAAGUUCUACUUUCCUCCCACUCACUUCUUUCGAGAGAAACUCCUUCUCUAGAAAGGAUCCAUUCUUAGCAACGAAUAUCUUGCCUUCAGAUCUGUGAUAGAAGGUGUACCCAACAGUCUCCUUUGGGUAUCCUAUGAAGACAUAUUUCUCCGAUUUAGGUUCGAGCUUAUCAGGUUGAAGUUUCUUCACAUAAGCAUCGCAACCCCAAACUUUAAGAUACGACAACUUUGGUUUCUUGCCAAACCAUAGUUCAUAAGGUGUCGUUUCAACGGAUUUUGAUGGUGCCCUAUUUAGAGUGAAUGCAGCCAUCUCUAAAGCAUAACCCCAAAACGAUAGCGGUAAAUCAGUAAGAGACAUCAUAGAUCGCACCAUAUCUAAUAAAGUACGAUUACGACGUUCGGACACACCAUUACGCUGUGGUGUUCCGGGUGGCGUGAGUUGCGAAACUAUUCCGCAUUGUUUCAAAUGUAGGCCAAACUCGUAACUCAAAUAUUCUCCUCCACGAUCUGAUCGUAGAAACUUUAUUUUCUUGUUACGAUGAUUUUCAACUUCACUCUGAAAUUCUUUGAACUUUUCAAAUGUUUCAGACUUAUGUUUCAUUAAGUAGAUAUACCCAUAUCAGCUCAAAUCAUCUGUGAAGGUGAGAAAAUAACGAUAUCCGCCACGAGCCUCAAUAUUCAUCGGACCACAUACAUCUGUAUGUAUGAUUUCCAAUAAAUCUGUUGCUCUCUCCAUAGUUCCGGAGAACGGUGUUUUAGUCAUCUUGCCCAUGAGGCACGGUUCGCAAGUACCAAGUGAUUCAUAAUCAAGUGAUUCCAAAAGUCCAUCAGUAUGGAGUUUCUUCAUGCGCUUUACACCGAUAUGACCUAAACGGCAGUGCCACAAAUAAGUUGCACUGUCAUUAUCAACUCUGCAUCUUUUGGCUUCGACAUUAUGAAUAUGUGUGUCACUACUAUCGAGAUUCAUUAAAAAUAGACCACUCUUCAAGGGUGCAUGACCAUAAAAGAUAUUACUCAUAUAAAGAGAACAACCAUUAUUCUCUGAUUUAAAUGAAUAACCGUCUCGCUUCAAACAAGAUCCAGAUAUAAUGUUCAUGCUCAACGCUGGCACCAAAUAACAAUUAUUUAGGUCUAAUACUAAUCCCGAAGGUAGAUGUAGAGGUAGCGUGCCGACGGCGAUCACAUCGACUUUGGAACCAUUUCCCACGCGCAUUGUCACCUCGUCCUUAGCCAAUCUUUGCUUAAUCCGUAGCCCCUGUUUCGAGUUGCAAAUAUUAGCAACAGAACCAGUAUCAAAUAUCCAGGUGCUACUGCGAGCAUUAGUAAGGUACACAUCAAUAACAUGUAUAUCACAUAUACCUUUGUUAACCUUGCCAUCCUUCUUAUCCGCCAAAUACUUGGGGCAGUUCCGCUUCCAGUGACCAGUCUGCUUGCAGUAGAAGCACUUAGUUUCAGGCUUAGGUCCAGACUUGGAUUUCUUCUCCUGAACAGCAACUUGCUUGUUGUUCUUCUUGAAGUUCCCCUUCUUCUUCCCUUUGCCCUUUUUCUUGAAACUAGUGGUUUUACUGACCAUCAACACUUGAUGCUCCUUUUUGAUUUCUACCUCCGCUGCCUUUAGCAUUGCGAAGAGCUCGGGAAUUGUCUUAUCCAUCCCUUGCAUGUUAUAGUUCAUCACGAAGCUUUUGUAGCUUGGUGGCAGUGAUUGAAGAAUUCUGUCAAUGACGCUAUCAUCCGGAAGAUUAACUCCCAGUUGAAUCAAGUGAUUAUUAUACCCAGACAUUUUGAGUAUAUGCUCACUGACAGAACUAUUCUCUUCCAUCUUGCAGCUGUAGAACUUAUUGGAGACUUCAUAUCUCUCAAUCCGGGCAUUUGCUUGAAAUAUUAACUUCAACUCCUGAAACAUCUCAUAUGCUCCAUGACGUUCAAAACGUCGUUGAAGACCCGGUUCUAAGCCGUAAAGCAUGGCACACUGAACUAUUGAGUAGUCAUCAGCUUUGCUCUGCCAGACGUUCAUAACUUCUGGUGUUGCUCUUGCAGGAGGCCUGGCACCUAGCGGCGCUUCCAGGACGUAAUUCUUCUGUGCAGCAAUGAGGAUAAUCCUCAAGUUACGGACCCAGUCCGUGUAAUUGCUACCAUCAUCUUUCAACUUUGCUUUCUCAAGGAACGCAUUAAAAUUCAACGGAACAACAGCACGGGCCAUUUAUCUAUAAUUAACAUAGACAAGCAAGAUACUAUCAGGUACUAAGUUCAUGAUAAAUUCAAGUUCAAUUAAUCAUAUUACUUAAGAACUCCCACUGAGAUAGACAUCCCUCUAAUCAUCUAAGUGAUUACGUGAUCCAAAUCAACUAAACCAUGUCCGAUCAUCACGUGAGAUGGAGUAGUUUCAAUGGUGAACAUCACUAUGUUGAUCAUAUCUACUAUAUAAUUCACGCUCGACCUUUCGGUCUCCGUGUUUCGAGGCCAUAUCUGCAUAUGCUAGGCUCGUCAAGUUUAACCUGAGUAUUCCGCGUGUGCAACUGUUUUGCACCCGUUGUAUUUGAACGUAGAGCCUAUCACACCCGAUCAUCACGUGGUGUCUCAGCACGAAGAACUUUCGCAACGGUGCAUACUCAGGGAGAACACUUUUAUCUUGAAAUUUUAGUGAGAGAUCAUCUUAUAAUGCUACCGCCAAUCAAAGCAAGAUAAGAUGCAUAAAAGAUUAACAUCACAUGCAAUCAAUAUAAGUGAUAUGAUAUGGCCAUCAUCAUCUUGUGCUUGUGAUCUCCAUCUCCGAAGCACCGUCAUGAUCACCAUCGUCACCGGCGCGACACCUUGAUCUCCAUCGUAGUAUCGUUGUCGUCUCGCCAUCUUAUUGCUUUUACGACUAUCGCUACCGCUUAGUGAUAAAGUAAAACAAUUACAUGGCGAUUGCAUUGCAUACAAUAAAGCGACAACCAUAUGGCUCCUGCCAGUUGUCGAUAACUCGGUUACAAAACAUGAUCAUCUCAUACAAUAAAAUAUAGCAUCAUGUCUUGACCAUAUCACAUCACAACAUGCCCUGCAAAAACAAGUUAGACGUCCUCUACUUUGUUGUUGCAAGUUUUACGUGGCUGCUACGGGCUUAGCAAGAACCGUUCUUACCUACGCAUCAAAACCACAACGAUAGUUUGUCAAGUUGGUGCUGUUUUAACCUUCGCAAGGACCGGGCGUAGCCACACUCGGUUCAACUAAAGUGAGAGAGACAGACACCCGCCAGUCACCUUUAAGCAACAAGUGCUCACAACGGUGAAACCAGUCUCGCGUAAGCGUACGCGUAAUGUCGGUCCGGGCCGCUUCAUCUCACAAUACCGCUGAACCAACGUAUGACAUGCUGGUAAGCAGUAUCACUUACAUCGCCCACAACUCACUUGUGUUCUACUCGUGCAUAGCAUUAACGCAUAAAACCAGGCUCGGAUGCCACUGUUGGGGAACGUAGUAAUUUCAAAAAAAAUUCCUACGCACACGCAAGAUCAUGGUGAUGCAUAGCAACGAGAGGGGAGAGUGUUGUCCACGUACCCUCGUAGACCGAAAGCGGAAGUGUUAACACAACGCGGUUGAUGUAGUCAUACGUCUUCACGAUCCGACCGAUCAAGUACCGAACGCACGGCACCUCCGAGUUCAGCACACGUUCAGCUCGAUGACGUCCCUCGAACUCCGAUCCAGCCGAGUGUUGAGGGAGAGUUUUGUCAGCAUGACGGCGUGGUGACGAUGAUGAUGUUCUACCGACGCAGGGCUUCGCCUAAGCUCCGCGACGAUAUUAUCGAGGUGUAAUAUGGUGGAGGGGGGCACCGCACACGGCUAAAAUAUCGUAUAUCAAUUGUGUGUCUAGAGGUGCCCCCUGCCCCCGUAUACAAAGGAGCAAGGGGGAGGCCGGCCGGCCCUUGGGGCGCGCCAAGGAGGGGGGAGUCCUCAUCCUAGUAGGAGUAGGACUCCCCUUUCCUAGUCCAACUAGGAAGGGAGAAGGGGGAAGGAAAGAGAGGGAGAGGGAGAGGGAAAGAGGGGCCGCGCCCCCCUCCGCUAGUCCAAUUCGGACUCCUCAUGGGAGGGGGGCGCCACCUCCUGGGCUGCUGCCCUCUCUCCCCUCAGGCCCACUAAGGCCCAAUACUUCCCCGGGGGGUUCCGGUAACCCCUCCGGCACUCCGGUUUUAUCCGAAACUUCUCCGGAACACUUCCGGUGUCCGAAUAUAGUCGUCCAAUAUAUCAAUCUUUAUGUCUCGACCAUUUCGAGACUCCUCGUCAUGUCCGUGAUCAUAUCUAGAACUCCGAACAACCUUCGGUAGAUCAAAACAUAUAAACUCAUAAUAAAACUGUCAUCGUAACUUUAAGCGUGCGGACCCUACGGGUUCGAGAACUAUGUAGACAUGACCGAGACACCUCUCCGGUCAAUAACCAAUAGCGGAACCUGGAUGCUCAUAUUGGUUCCCACAUAUUCUACGAAGAUCUUUAUCGGUCAGACCGCAUAACAACAUACGUUGUUCCCUUUGUCAUCGGUAUGUUACUUGCCCGAGAUUCGAUCGUCGGUAUCUCGAUACCUAGUUCAAUCUCGUUACCGGCAAGUCUCUUUACUUGUUCCGUAAUACAUCAUCCCGCAACUAACUCAUUAGUCACAAUGCUUGCAAGGCUUAUAGUGAUGUGCAUUACCGAGAGGGCCCAGAGAUACCUCUCCGACAAUCGGAGUGACAAAUCCUAAUCUCGAAAUACGCCAACCCAACAAGUACCUUUGGAGACACCUGUAGAGCACCUUUAUAAUCACCCAGUUACGUUGUGACGUUUGGUAGCACACAAAGUGUUCCUCCGGUAAACGGGAGUUGCAUAAUCUCAUAGUCAUGGGAACAUGUAUAUGUCAUGAAGAAAGCAAUAGCAACAUACUAAACGAUCGAGUGCUAAGCUAACGGAAUGGGUCAAGUCAAUCACGUCAUUCUCCUAAUGAGGUGAUCCCGUUAAUCAGAUGACAACUCGUGUCUAUGGCUAGGAAACAUAACCAUCUUUGAUUAACGAGCUAGUCAAGUAGAGGCAUACUAGUGACACUCUGUUUGUCUAUGUAUUCACACAUGUAUUAUGUUUCCGGUUAAUACAAUUCUAGCAUGAAUAAUAAACAUUUAUCAUGAUAUAAGGAAAUAAAUAAUACUUUAUUAUUGCCUCUAGGGCAUAUUUCCUUCAGAUACUAGGGAACAAACCCUAACAAAACUAACUCGAUUACAUGAUAGAUCUCAUCCAACCCAUCACCGUCCAGCAAGCCUACGAUGGAAUUACUCACGCACGGCGGUGAGCAUCAUGAAAUUGGUGAUGGAGGAUGGUUGAUGAUGACGACGACGACGAAUCCCCCUCUCCGGAGCCCCGAACGGACUCCAGAUCAGCCCUCCCGAGAGGUUUUAUGGCUUGGCGGCGGCUCCGUAUCGUAAAACGCGAUGAAUUCUUCUCUCUGAUUUUUUUUCUCCCCGAAAGCAAAUAUAUAGAGUUGGAGUUGAGGCCGGAGCAGCUCUAGGGGGGCCACGAGGUAGGGGGCGUGCCCUAGGGGGAGGGCGCCCCCCCACCCUCGUGGACAGGGUGUGGGCCCCCUGGUCUUCAUCUUUUGCAAGGAUUUUUUAUUAUUUCCAAAUAGACGUUCCGUGGAGUUUCAGAUCAUUCCGAGAACUUUUGUUUCUGCACAUAAAUAACACCAUGGAAAGUCUGCUGAAAACAGCGUCAGUCCGGGUUAGUUCCAUUCAAAUCAUGAGUCCAAAACAAGGGCAAAAGUGUUUGGAAAAGUAGAUACGACGGAGACGUAUCAGUCUUGGAAGUGGAUGAGGCCGGCCCCGGCGCACACUUCCAUUAAAAAGGACGGCCAUGCGGACCUUCCACACACUGCCAGGCGGCCCUGAAAUAGGUGUUGAUAUUUAAUAAGACGCGGGCGUUGGUUGGGCAGCCGACAAGUGGGACCGCGGCAGACACCUAGGGGACGCGCGGCGCGUCCGCGUCGACGCAUUUUUGGCGCAAUUUUAGGCUGAAAAUGGGUCCGCGCUGAUGCACGUUAGGCGCAAUUUUAGAGCUCCCUAGUUUUAAAGGCCUCACAAUCAAUUGAAGUCUCCAAUUUGAAAUUGGUCAUCCAAUUUUGACCGGAUCAAUAUUUUCACGCGGAGCUCUCAUUCAAAUUUUUUAGUAUACUAUGCUUCCUAAUUUUGAAACUCUUCCAUUCGAUUGAGUUAUACAAUUUUAAUCCUUGACUUGACUCAGUAAAUCCUUAGUUGUGGCCCAAUGAAAUCUUAACUUCAUUAAGCUCCCUAAUUUUCAAGCCCCUCAUUCAACUGAGGUCUUCAAUUUGGAUUGGUAAACAAUUGAUUUCGUCGUUGGCCUGGGCUUUAUGGUGGGAUUUCUAGAAUGGGUCCUUUUGUAAGUUCUUAGGUGGCGUGGGCCUUCGUUGACAAAAAGAAGAUGUCGACUAUGACCGUUUAGCAUCAGCACGACACAUGCAGCCGACAACAUAGGUAAUUUUCUAAUGUUUGUAUAAAUUAAAAGACACCCUCGAGUCACACAGUUAAAAAGACCCAUCCAAAGACCACAAUAAAAAAAUGAAAAAUUAUACACUAAUAUGUCUCCAACGUAUCUAUAAUUUUUUAUUGUUCCAUGUUAUAUUAUCAUUCUUGAAUGUUUUAUAUUCAACGUAUCUAUAAUUUUUGAUUGUUCCAUGUUGUUAUAUUAUCAUUUUGAAUGUUUUAAAUUCAUUUAUUAGCAACUUUAUAUCAUUUUUGGGGACUAACCUAUUGACAUAGUGCCCAGUGCCAGUUGCUUUUUUGCUUAUUUUUUACUUCACAGAAAAUCAGUACCAAACAGAGUCCAAAUGCUAUGAAACUUUUUGGAGAUUUUUUUCUGCCCAAAAGACACCCAGGAGGCCCAAGAAGUGCACCAGAGGGGCCCUGUGGACCCCAAUAGGCACCAGGGCGCACUAGAGGCCCCUAGCACGCCUUGGUGGGUAGUGGGGCCCACAGGCACCCCCUCAACCGACUAUCAGCUCUAUAAAUACUCUAAAAUCCCCAAAACCCUAGGGGAGUCGACGAAACACAAUUUCAGCAGCCGCAAGUUCCAGAACCACAAGAUCCAAUCUAGAGGCCUUUUCCGGCACUCUACCGGAGGGGUCAACGAUCACGGAGGGGUUCUUCAUCAUCACCCUUGCCCCUCCAAUGAUGCGUGAGUAGUUUACUGAAGUAAAUAUGCCCUAGAGGCAAUAAUGAAGUUCUUAUUUUAUAUUUCCUUAUUCAUGAUAAAGGUUUAUUAUUCAUGCUAGAAUUGUAUUGAUCGGAAACCUUAAUACAUGUGUGAAUACAUAAACAAACAUCGUGUCCCUAGUAAGUCUCUACUAGACUAGCUCGUUGAUCAAAGAUGGUUAAGGUUUCCUAACCAUAGACAUGAGUUGUCAUUUGAUAACGGGAUCACAUCAUUAGGAGAAUGAUGUGAUGGACAAGACCCAUCCAUUAGCUUAGCAUAAUGAUCGUUCAGUUUUAUUGCUAUUGCUUUCUUCAUGUCAAAUACAUAUUCCUUUGACUAUGAGAUUAUGCAACUCCCGGAUACCGGAGGAAUACCUUGUGUGCUAUCAAACGUCACAACGUAACUGGGUGAUUAUAAAGAUGCUCUACAGGUAUCUCCGAAGGUGUUUGUUGGGUUGGCAUAGAUCGAGAUUAGGAUUUGUCACUCCGAGUAUCGGAGAGGUAUCUCUGGGCCCUCUCGGUAAUACACGUCAUAAGCUUACAAGCAAACGACUAAGGAGUUAGUCAUGAGGUGAUGUAUUACGGAACGAGUAAAGAGACUUGCCGGUAAUGAGAUUGAACUAGGUAUGAAGAUACCGAUGAUCGAAUCUCGGGCAAGAAACAUACCGAUAGACAAAGGGAAUAAUGUAUGUUGUCAUAACGGUUCAACCGAUAAAGAUCUUCGUAGAAUAUGUAGGAGCCAAUAUGAGCAUCCAGGUGAUGGGGAACAUAGUAAUUUCAAAAAAAAUCCUACGCACACGCAAGAUCAUGGUGAUGCAUAGCAACGAGAGGGGAGAGUGUUGUCUACGUACCCUCGUAGACCGUAAGCGGAAGCGUUAUGACAACGCGGUUGAUGUAGUCAUACGUCUUCACGAUCGACCGAUCCCAGCACCGAAGUUAUGGCACCUCCGCGGACUGCACAUGUUCAGCUCGGCGACGUCCCAUGAACUCAUGAUCCAGUAGAGCUUCGAGUGAGAGCUUCGUCAGCACGAUGGCAUGAUGACGGUGAUGAUGAAGUUACCGACGCAGGGAUUCGCCUAAGCACCGCUACGAUAUGACCGAGGUGGAUUAUGGUGGAGGGGGGCACCGCACACGGCUAAGAGAGAUCAAUGAUCAACUUGUGUCUCUAUGGGGUGCCCCCCUCCCCCGUAUAUAAAGGAGUGGAGGAGGGGGAAGGGCCGGCCCUACUAGGCGCGCCCCAAGGGGAGUCCUACUCCCAUCGGGAGUAGGAUUUCCCCCUUCCAAGAGUAGGAGUAGGAGAGAGGGAAGGAGGAGAGAGGGGGAAGGAAAGGGGGGCGCCGCCCCCCUCCUUGUCCAAUUCGGACUAGAUGGAGAGGGGGUGCGCGGCCUGCCCUGGCCGCCCCUCCUCUUCUCCACUAAGGCCCAAUAGGCCCAUUACACUCCCCGGGGGGUUCUGAGGACCCCCCCCGGUACUCCGGUAUUUGUCCGAACUUGCCCGGAACCCUUCCGAAGUCCAAACAUAGUCAUCCAAUAUAUCGAUCAUUAUGUCUCGACCAUUUCGAGACUCCUCGUUAUGUCUGUGAUCAUAUCCGGGACUCCGAACUACCUUUGGUACAUCAAAACAAAUAAACUCAUAAUACCGAUCGUCACCGAACAUUAAGCGUGCGGACCCUACGGGUUCGAGAACUAUGUAGACAUGACCGAGACACGUCUCUGGUCAAUAACCAAUAGCGGGACCUGGAUGCUCAUAUUGGUUCCUACAUAUUCUACGAAGAUCUUUAUCGGUCAAACCGCAUAACAACAUACGAUGUUCCCUUUGUCAUCGGUAUGUUACUUGCCCGAGAUUCGAUCAUCAGUAUCUCAAUACCUAGCUCAAUCUCGUUGCCGGAAAGUCUCUUUACUCGUUUCGUAAUGCAUCAUCCCGUAACUAACUCAUUAGCUACAUUGCUUGCAAGGCUUAUAGUGAUGUGCAUUACCGAGAGGGCCCAGAGAUACCUCUCCGACAAUCGGAGUGACAAAUCCUAAUCUCGAUUUAUGCCAACACAACAAACACCAUCGGAGACACCUUUAGAGCACCUUUAUAAUCACCCAGUUACGUUGUGACGUUUGGUUGCACACAAAUUGUUCCUCCGGUAUUCGGGAGUUGCAUAAUCUCAUAGUCAUAGGAACAUGUAUAAGUCAUGAAGAAAGCAAUAGCAACAUACUAAACGAUCAAGUGCUAAGCUAACGGAAUGGGUCAAGUCAAUCACAUCAUUCUCUAAUGAUGUGAUCCCGUUAAUCAAAUGACAACUCAUGUCUAUGGCUAGGAAACUUAACCAUCUUUGAUUCAACGAGCUAGUCAAGUAGAAGCAUACUAGUGACACUAUGUUUGUCUAUGUAUUCACACAUGUACUAAGUUUCCGGUUAAUACAAUUCUAGCAUGAAUAAUAAACAUUUAUCAUGAAAUAAGGAAAUAAAUAAUAACUUUAUUAUUGCCUCUAGGGCAUAUUUCGUUCACCAGGUUCCGCUGUUGGUUAUUGACCGGAGAGGUGUCUCGGUCAUGACUACAUAAUUCCCGAACCCUCAGGGUCGCACGCUUAACGUUCGUUGACGCUAGAGUAGUAUUGGGAUAUUUGAUGAGUGGUAACCAGAUGUUGUUUGGAGUCCCGGAUGAGAUGUCGGACGUCACGAGGAGUCUCGGAAUGGUCGAGAGGUAAAGAUUUAUAUAUGGGAAGUCAUAUUUUGGGUUCCCGAAAAAGAUGCGGUUUUUUUGAUAUUGUACUGGGAAGCUUCUAGAAGUGUGUGGAGGAUUCCGGAGGGGUCCAUAAGUCCACAAGUGGUUCCACCAUGACCCAAGGGCUAGGAUGGGCUGCGGGGAGGCGCCCUGGCCUUAUUGGGCUAGGCGCACCAAGUCCUCAAAAAUCCAUGUGGUUAGGGAAGGCAAAAAAGGAAGGAGUCCUAGUAGGAAUAGGAUUGGACUUGGAGUCCAAGUCCUCUCCCCCUUAGCUGCGCCCUAGGGCUUGGAGGGGCUGUUUACCACGCCCCUCCACCUAUAUAUAGAGGGGAGGGGGUGCCCCAAGAGAACACACCAAGCCCUUGGCGCCCCUCUCUCUCUCCCGUUACUCCGUAGUUCCACUGCCUCGUCCCGGCGACUCUUAGCGAAGCGCUGUCGGUGUUCCACCACCAUGAUACUUCUCCAACAUAUCUAUAAUUUUUGAUUGUUUCAUGCUAUUAUAUUAUCUCUUUUGGAUGUUUAAUGGGCUUUAUUAAACACUUUUAUAUUAUUUUUGGGACUAACCUAUUAACCCAGAGCCUAGUGCCAGUUCCUGUUUUUUCCUUGUUUCAGUGUUUUGAAGAAAAGGAAUAUCAAACGGAGUCGAAACGGAAUGAAACCUUCUGGAGAAGUUAUUUUUGGAAAGAAAGCAACCCGGGAGACUUGGAGUCCACGUCAAGAAAUAAACAAGGGAGGCAUGAGGCAAGGGGGCGCGCCCACCCCCUCUGGGCGCGCCCUCCACCCUCGUGGGCCCCUCGUGGCUCCCCUGGCGUAUUUCUUCCUCCUAUAUAUACCAAUAUACCCUAAAACCAUCGGGGGACAGAAUAGAUCGGGAGUUCCGCCGCCGCAAGCCUAUGUAGCCACCAAAAACCAAUCGGGACCCUGUUCCGGCACCCUGCCGGAGGGGGGAUCCCUCACCGGUGGCCAUCUUCAUCAUCCCGGCGCUCUCCAUGACGAGGAGGGAGUAGUUCACCCUCGGGGCUGAGGGUAUGUACCAGUAGCUAUGUGUUUGAUCUCUCUCUCUCGUGUUCUUGAUUUGGCACGAUCUUGAUGUAUCGCGAGCUUUGCUAUUAUAGUUGGAUCUUAUGUUGCUUAUCCCCCUCUACUCUCUUGUAAUGGAUUGAGUUUUCCCUUUGAGGUUAUCUUAUCGGAUUGAGUCUUUAAAGAUUUGAGAACACUUGAUGUAUGUCUUGCCGUGCAUAUCUGUGGUGACAAUGGGAUAUCACGUGAUUCACUUGAUGUAUGUUUUGGUGAUCAACUUGCGGGUUCCGCCCAUGAACCUAUGCAUAGGGGUUGGCACACGUUUUCGUCGUGAUUCUCCGGUAGAAACUUUUGGGCACUCUUUGAGGUUCUAUGUGUUGGUUGAAUAGAUGAAUCUGAGAUUGUGUGAUGCAUAUCGUAUAAUCAUACCCACGGAUACUUGAGGUGACAUUGGAGUAUCUAGGUGACAUUAGGGUUUUGGUUGAUUUGUAUCUUAAGGUGUUAUUCUAGUACGAACUCUAGGGCUGUUUGUGACACUUAUAGGAAUAGCCCAACGGAUUGAUUGGAAAGAAUAACUUUGAGGUGGUUUCGUACCCUACAAUAAUCUCUUCGUUUGUUCUCCGCUAUUAGUGACUUUGGAGUGACUCUUUGUUGCAUGUUGAGGGAUAGUUAUAUGAUCCAAUUAUGUUAUUAUUGUUGAGAGAACUUGCACUAGUGAAAGUAUGAACCCUAGGCCUUGUUUCCUAGCAUUGCAAUACCGUUUACGCUCACUUUUACCACUUGUUACCUUACUGUUUUUAUAUUUUCAGAUUACAAAACCUUUAUCUACCAUCCAUAUUGCACUUGUAUCACUAUCUCUUCGCCGAACUAGUGCACCUAUACAAUUUACCAUUGUAUUGGGUGUGUUGGGGACACAAGAGACUCUUUUUUAUUUGGUUGCAGGGUUGUUUGAGAGAGACCAUCUUCAUCCUACACCUCCCACGGAUUGAUAAACCUUAGGUCAUCCACUUGAGGGAAAUUUGCUACUGUCCUACAAACCUCUUCACUUGGAGGCCCAACAACGUCUACAAGAAGAAGGUUGCGUAGUAGACAUCAAGCUCUUUUCUGGCGUCGUUGCCGGGGAGGUGAGUGCUUGAAGGUAUAUCUUUAGAUCUUGCAAUCGAAUCUUUUAGUUUCUUGUUUUAUCACUAGUUUUGUCUAUAAAAGAAACUACAAAAAAUGGAAUUGAGUUUGCCUCAUACGCUUCAUCUUUUUAAUAUCUUUCGUGAGAAUGAUGGAAAGGAAAAUUGUGCUCAAGUGCUAGAAGAAGAAGUCUAUAGAAUGUUUGGCACUAAAUCUUUAAAUGAUGAGCAUGAUUGCAAUAUUGUUAGUAUGAAUUCUUUGAAUACCCAUAAUGCUAAUGAUAUGCAAAGCCACAAACUUGGGGAUGCUAUGUUUGAUGAAGAUGAUAUUUUUAGUGCCCCAAGUUUUGGUGAGAAUAUUUAUUAUGAUGAAAGCAUGCCUCCUAUUUAUGAUGAUUAUAUUGAUGAAAGUGGAUUUGGAGAGGUCAUGACUUUAUUUAGUGAUGAAUCCACUAUUUCGGAAGAGGUUCCAAUUGAGUAUGAGAACAAAGUUGUUAUCUAUGAUGAUUAUUGUGAUGACAUGUAUGCUAUAAAGAAUAAAGAUAAACAUGAAACUUGUCAUCAUGAUUUUAAUUUUUAAUUGGAUUAUGCUUCACAUGACAGUUAUUUUGUUGAGUUUGCUCCCACUACUAUUCCGAAUGAGAAAUUUUUUGCUUAUGUGAAGAGUAGUAAAUUUUCUAUGCAAGUAGAUCAUGAAAAGAAUGCUUUAGGUGCUGGUUUUAUUGUUGAUUCAUUCAUGAUGCUACUAAAAAUUAUUAUGAGGGAGGAACAUAUGCUUGUAGGAAUUGCAACAAUAUCAAGUUUCCUCUCUAUGUGCUUAAAAUCUUGAAGCUAUGCUUGUUUAACCUUCCUAUGCUAGUUGAUUCUUGUUCCCAUAAGUUGUUUGCUCACAAAAUCCCUAUGCAUAGGAAGUGGGUUAGGCUUAAAUGUGCUAGUAAUAUGCUUCAUGAUGCUCCCGUUAUGUUUAAAUUCUUAUCUUUUAUGUGAGCAUCAUUGUCAUCAUCAUGCCUAGCUAGAAAGGCAUUAAAGAAAAGCGCUUGUUGGGAGACAACCCAAUAUUUAUACCCUACAAUAAUCUCUUCGUUUGUUCUCUGCUAUUAGUGACUUUGGAGUGACUCUUUGUUGCAUGUUGAGGGAUAGUUAUAUGAUCCAAUUAUGUUAUUAUUGUUGAGAGAACUUGCACUAGUGAAAGUAUGAACCCUAGGCCUUAUUUCCUAGCAUUGCAAUACCGUUUACGCUCACUUUUACCACUUGUUACCUUGCUGUUUUUAUAUUUUCAGAUUACAAAACCUUUAUCUACCAUCCAUAUUGCACUUGUAUCACUAUCUCUUCGCCGAACUAGUGCACCUAUACAAUUUACCAUUGUAUUGGGUGUGUUGGGGACACAAAAGACUCUUUUUUAUUUGGUUGCAGGGUUGUUUGAGAGAGACCAUCUUCAUCCUACACCUCCCACGGAUUGAUAAACCUUAGGUCAUCCACUUGACGGAAAUUUGUUACUGUCCUACAAACCUCUGCACUUGGAGGCCCAACAACGUCUACAAGAAGAAGGUUGCGUAGUAGACAUCACACCACCAUGCCGUCUUGUUGGUUGUGAUCCCAUCUACUUCUCCUCUCCCGCUUGCUGGAUCAAGAAGGAGGAGACGUCAUCGAGCCGCACGUGUGCUAAACUCAGAGGUGCCGUCCGUUCGACACUAGAUCGGUUGGAUCGUGAUCGGAUCGCGAAGAGUACGACUACAUCAACCGCGUGAUAAACGCUUCCGCUUAACAGUCUACGAGGGUACGUAGACACACUCUCCCCUUUCGUUGCUAUGCAUCUCCUAGAUAGAUCUUGCGUGAGCGUAGGAAAUUUUUGAAAUUGCAUGCUACAUUUCCCAACAUUUACCACAGACCUACGGGUCCGUAGGCAGUAGCUAGAUGGCUUCUUCUCUCUUUUUGAUCUUCAAUACAAUGUUCUCCUCGAUGUUCUUGAAGAUCUAUUUGAUGUAGUGACUUUUUGCGGUGUGUUUGUCGGGAUCCGAUGAAUUGUGAGUUUAUGAUCAGGUCUAUCCAUGAAUAUUAUUUGGGUUUUUUCUGAACUCUUUUAUGCAUGAUUAUUAUAGCCUCGUAUUUAUUCUCUGAAACUUUGGUUUGGUUUAGCCAACUAGAUUGAGGGCCUGUUCGGUACAAAGGAUUUUCACAGGAAAGUCCAAAGGAACCGAUUCCUGUGGAAAAUUUCCCUAGCAUGCGUUCUGGAUAGAGGAAACAUGAACAGUGAACCAAAGGAAUUUUUCUCCGUCAGCGCUGAUUUCACAGGAAAGUAAAAAUCCACCCCAAGCUCAUCUUCCGGGCGGAAGACCGAGGCAAGCGCUGUUGAGAACGUGAGCAGGCUGACAGUUGCACUGUAUGUCUAGAUAAAAAAUUACUACUACGUGUACUAGCGGUCGGAGACGAAGGCAGCUGGUGUUCAUUGCCGAAUAGAUCAUGCAUCAGUCAUCAUUCACGUCAGAUGUAUUAGGCUAGUUUGCUGAGUUUUCCCUGCGGUCACCCGAAUACUUUUUUUCAGGCUUUCCUUUGUUUUCUAGAUCCAAUGAUUUGCUCUAGUCUUCCUUUUCCAUUACUACGUUUUCACAAAUUCCUAUGUUUUAGGACCCUUUGUUUCAAACAUGGCCUGAUUUUUCUUGCAAUGGGAAGAGGUACUUUGUGAUGGGUUUGAUUUUGCGGUGCUCAAUCUCAGUGACAGACAGAGACAUGACACGCACGUAUCGUUGCCAUUAAGGAUAAAAAGGUGGGGUUUAUUCCUACAUGAAUAGAUCUUGUCUAUAUCAUGUCAUCGUUCUUAUUGCAUUACUCUGUUUUUUCAUGAACUUAAUACACUAGAUGCAUGUUGGAUAGCGGUCGAUGUGUGGAGUAAUAGUAGUAGAUGUAGGCAGGAGUCGGUCUACUAAUCUUGGACGUGAUGACUACAUACAUGAUCAUUGCCUUGGAUAUCGUCACUAUUCGCUUUUCUGUCAAUUGCGCAACAGUAAUUUAUUUAUCCACCGUAUGUUAUUUUUUCGAGAGAUGUCUCUAGUGAAAUCUACGGCCCCCGGGUUUAUUGCCUACCAUAUUAAACUAAAAAUAUCUUCCUGCACUUUUUCUUUAUUUAUUUUAUUUUGUGUUUUUGCAAGAUCUAUUUAUCAAAUCUCAUACAAGUUUGUCUAUCUCAAUAUCGAGGAGGGAUUGACAACCCCUCUUACGCGUUGGGUUGCAAGUUCUUGUUAUUUGUGUGUAUGUGUUGUUUACAUAGUGUUGCUUGGUUCUCCUACUGGAUUGAUAACCUUGGUUUCAUAACUGAGGGAAAUACUUACCGUUGCUGUGCAACAUCAUCCUCUCCUCUUCGGGGAAUUACCAACGCAGAUACAAGCAAUCAUACACUCACAGACGAUUCACUAUGGAUUGGUCAUAGCAAACACUCUCCCACCACUCACUACCCAGAUUUUCACCGAUGGGCUACUCUUUCACUAAUUUUCAACUAUAAAUUAACAUAUUCAUCUGUAACCAUUAUUCCGUGAAGUCUGUCCAUAGGUGUAGCAUCUCUGAUAAAAACACACACUCCAUUGUUGUUUCCCCCACACGCAACCAACAAGCAUGUAAAUAAUUUUCACAACUUAAAAAAACUAUCACGUAAAAAAACAGGUACAACCCUAAGAACAUAAGCGGCGCAGCAAAGCACACUGCUCUUCUAGUAUAACUCCAUAUCUUAUCUCCCAUUCUUCCCACUCACCCCGACCAUGCCAUGAUUCUUGCAGUUUUCUGAUAUCUUAAUGUCAUCUCAGAUGGCUUUCAAAGUUGCAUCUAUUUAUCGCUAUUUUCUCCUUCAACAUGUGCCAGCUUUUCGUGUGUCCAACGGUAAGCCAUACGACACUUUCUAGGCCCCCGCCAAAAAAAAGACACUGUCUAGCUCAUCAGGGCACAACUUAAAAAGAUCAAUUAAAUUAUGUUCCGGCUCUUAUAAAAUCAUACUCCUUUCAAUCUGAAUUAAUUGAUACAGGCUCUACACUACGCAGCCCGAAUUAAUUGACGUGGCCUCUAUACAAUACGCAGGCUGUGAAUUCGGAUGAAGGGAGUAGCACGAGAGAGUGAUUUCCACUUGUGGUAAGAGAAGCACGUACGUACGGCAUGUGCAUAUAAUAUUUUAUCAGCCCUAAUGAACGAACACCCAAGAAUAGGAUAAUAUGAAAUCUUGCAAUGAAUCUUGGACACGUCGAUCAAACAGAAACUAGAGCUUUGAAAAAUUAAGAAACAGUAUAAUAGAGCUAGCUACGAGGCUUCUCAGCGAUUUGACAUUCUCAGCCAUUGGAUCACUACCACGUACGCUCGGGAUUAGCUCGGUCAUCACACAGGUCAUUCACGACAGUUAUUUACCCCUCGACCUGCGCGGGCCGUCCAAGGCACCGUUAUCGGGCUGCUGCUCCUCAGAACGAGUUAGACGAGUGGUGAUUGAUCGGGCCGCAUAGGUUGUAGGCCCAGAGGGCCCUGUCCAACAUGCGCAACUUGUCCAGUCCGUGAAUGCACGCAGCUUCCUGAUACGUACCCGUUCAUUGUCGCGAGAGUAAACAAAAAAAGCUCGUUCAUCCCAAAUAUGUCCAGUCCGUGAAUGCACGCAGCUUCCUGAUACGUACCCGUUCAUUGUCGCGAGAGUAAACAAAAAAAGCUCGUUCAUCCCAAAUAUUUCUUCCCAGUUCGUCUGCGCUACUCCCAGUCUCCCUGUUCGUUUGCGCUGCGCCGCCGCCGUCCCGAGUCCCGGCGGCAAGCUUCUACUGCACAUGCGCGUAGGAGACGACAUCGGUCCCGUCUACUCUUCUUCCGCAUGCCCCACGGUGAGGCCCGUCUUUCCCAUGUCGUGCCCUGAUGUAUUCCUCUGCGGCGGCCGCACGCUCCCCAUCAGUCCUUCGGGUGUGUAGGCCACCAUGUUGUUGGAGCUGUACCAUCAAACCAUGACCGCGUCCUUUCCCCUUCCAUAACUAAAACUUAUGCUUUGAAACCUCUCCCGUUCUCCCUGAUAUAUUAUGUUGAUCCUUCCUCCCUUCUGUGUCAUUUCAUUUCACAUCUCCCGCUGUUCGUCAGACAUACCAGUUACUUGGUUUAAUUCUUGCUAACCACCCUAUAAUUCUCCUACAUGUCUUCAUAUCAACAUAACUGAAUUACUAUUACUCCUUACAUGGUUACAGUGCUCGUUCAUUGGAAUUCCUAUGUUGGAAUUUGUCAGGGGGUGUGUGUCACACCCAAUUGCAAACAUGGCCGCUGGACAGGUGCGACUAUCCACAAAUUUUCUGCAUUCUAUGCAAUUUGUUUGAUUUUUAUUCCAGCCGUGCACAUCCAUUUUGCCUGGUCCCUUUCAUUUUCUUUAUUUCUGAUUACAUAUAGUCUAUCUGUGGCAUGAUCUGGACCUACGCAGAUUGGUUUCUUUGUUGGCUUUCUUCUUUCCUGUGCUACUGCUACCAACACUUUAAAAUCGUUCUAGCAAAAAAAAUCAUUAGUCUAAAAUGAGUAGGAAUGGGUAGAAUAUCCCUGAUAUAUGAAUCACGAUGAACAUCAUUUGCAGCUCAUGUAUUCUUUUAUUCCAAAUCAUAUGGGAACAAAGUCCCAUAGCCAAAUGCUGAUAAUUUCAUGUCUUGUUUAAUUCUUUCUGGCCAUAGACCAUUAGAAUUUGAAGUGUGUAAUCUUAAUGCGGGAUAUCGUUGAAUGACACAUUUGUUAUCUAUACCGUCACAUAUAUUUUGACUUCAUUUGCUCCCUAUAUCUAUAAAUUCUCAAUAUGGGCGGGCGCAGCAACGCGCGUCUUCACGAUCUAGUGAAAACAAGAAAACAGAAGCUAUGGCGCGUGGCCCGCCGACCACCGCAUAUCGCCUGGCCUGCAUCCUACUUGUACAUUUCUACCUUUUCUUUGCAUCGUGAGUAACGUCGGCAUUGGACUUCACCGUCACACUACCCCACCCAAUCUCUUUCCUCAACCUGUCUUUACACUUGUGCUGGUCUCCUACUUGGCCUUCGGCACCGGCAUCCGCAUGUGUUGGAUCGAAUCAGCAGCUCGUGAUAUGGGUGAGCGAUCGAGCUUCGCGAAUCUACUAAUUUCUACGUGGCGGCCAUGUACGAGCACCGCCGCGCGACGUGUCCCGUUGCUUCUGCCUAUAAAUGCCGCCUGCUCGAAUCACCUUUCCAACACAAGCAGUUGAGCAAUAGCUAGCAGUGAGAUUUGGUCCUUCCGAUCGAGUGAUUUCAGUUGGUGUUUGUUGGUGAGAGAGAAGAGAAGAGAAGAGAAGAUGGCCUCCAACCAGAACCAGGCGAGCUACGCGGCCGGCGAGACCAAGGCCCGCACCGAGGUAACCGCCGUCUCCCGCAGAGCCUACCACUUCAUCGUGCAUUCCUCCUGCCGCGCAUGCGGCGUUGCUCAGUGAACUGAAAUGAUCUCUUGCUUGUGCAGGAGAAGACCGGGCAGAUGAUGGACAAGGCGGGGCAGGCCACGGAGGCCACGAAGCAGAAGGCCGGCGAGACGGCCGAGGCCACCAAGCAGAAGGCCGGCGAGGCCAAGGACAAGACGGCCCAAACGGCGCAGGCCGCCAAGGACCGCGCCGUCGAGAGCAAGGACCAGACCGGCAGCUUCCUCGGCGAGAAGACGGAGGCGGCCAAGCAGAAGGCCGCCGAGACGGCCGAGGCGGCCAAGCAGAAGACGUCGGAGACGGCGCAGUACGCGCAGGAGAGGUCCUCUGACGCGGCGCAGUACACCAAGGAGUCCGCCAUCGCCGGCAAGGACAAGACCGGCAGCGUGCUCCAGCAGGCCGGCGAGACGGUGGUGAACGCCGUGGUGGGCGCCAAGGACGCCGUGGCGAACACGCUGGGCAUGGGCGGCGACAACACCAACACCGCCAAGGACACCACCACCGAGAAGAUCACCAGGGAUCACUAGACGCAUACAUACGUCCAGUCUUCCUAAUUUGCUUCCUUUACUCGUUUGGUCGUUCGCGGGCCUUUUACAUAUUUGUAUGUUUCCCUCUUGUGAUUUCCGCUCAUUUAGGGUAAGUUUGCCUUCGAUUUGAUGUUGAUGUACUCGUGUCCGGUUCUGUAAUGAGUUACUUAUAAUACUUUGGUGUAAAUGGAUAACGAGGACAGUCGAAGGUGCUUCAAUCCGUUGGUUGUCAGAAGCUUUCUUCACUUCUUAUCUUUCUUUUUUUUGGAACGGGAAAGGCACUCUCAAGGCGCCAAAU